CUACAAGUACGUAACGACACGCUGUUUCACGCCACGUUUCGCUGCUUCAUUUUAUUUCGCCCGUCCGCAAACAAUAUCCGUCUACCGGAAAUCUCGUUCCGAUCGUCCACAUCGGCGAUGGUUUCUGGCAGAAAAUUCCGUUCGAUUACCGUGAUCUCCGUACGAUUCGUGUGCGAAAUGUUCGAAUUUUCUUCAAGCGUACGUGAUAAUCGGGAGAGCGGCAGGGGCGAAAUUCGUGUAAACGGGAAACCGUGUUCGCAGUAACAGUUUCUGUAAUUAUUUUCGAUUUUGUUUUAUUAUUGUUGUAAUUCGUUUAGAGAUAAUAAUCGCAGACACCGGAAACUAUCGCGAAUCGCUUAAAUUAGCACUUUCUAAACGCGGUACAACUUUCGAGCUUUUUACGGCCGUUUGAAAUGUUUGCGUUUGUUUUAGUUUUCGUUCAGUUUCAUCCGGAUAUAUUCGUGUUGGCUUUGCGGAAAUUCAACACCGGCAUUCAUCUACUUAACGAUAAAGUACGAAAAUUUAACGCUAUGCAAAACGAAUUUUGAACGGCGUUUAUAUUUUUAUGGAAAUCGUAAAAAUCUCGGCGUUUCAAAAACUCGUUCGGUUAAUCUCAAAAUCGUUUCUCGUCAGCAAUGGUUUGCCGGUGCGUACGGAUGUGAAUUUAACUGCCCUAUAUUGUGGCCUG